rnacentral:misc_RNA from 1 species
AGCAGCCGCGGUAAUUCCAGCUCCAAUAGCGUAUAUUAAAGUUGCUGCAGUUAAAAAGCUCGUAGUUGAAUUUCGGGACCAUCAUGUUGGUCGUGCCUCGGUACGUACUGGCAUUGUUGGUUUCUCCCUUCUGACGAACCAUGAUGUCAUUUAUUUGGUGUCGUGGGAAAUCAGGACUGUUACUUUGAAAAAUUAGAGUGUUUAAAGCAGGCUCACGCUUGAAUACAUUAGCAUGGAAUAAUGAAAUAGGACGUUUGAUUCUAUUUUGUUGGUUUCUAGGAUCGACGUAAUGAUUAAUAGGGAUAGUUGGGGGCAUUAGUAUUCAAUUGUCAGAGGUGAAAUUCUUGGAUUUAUUGAAGACUAACUACUGCGAAAGCAUUUGCCAAGGAUGUUUUCAUUAAUCAAGAACGAAAGUUAGGGGAUCGAAGACGAUCAGAUACCGUCGUAGUCUUAACCAUAAACUAUGCCGACUAGGGAUCGGAUGAUGUUAAUUUUUUUAAUGACUCAUUCGGCGU